GUUAUGCAAAACAAUGCAAAACUCGGCAGAUUGGAUUCCAUUUCUUUGUACUCUUUAACCUUUCUCUCAACAAAUGUCCAGUCACAAUGCAGCAGUAAUAAUAGACGAAAAAACUGCAGCACGUUCUGUCAUCCAACACCGAAUAGCUUCACGUGUGGGUACCCUGACGGAGAGCAUUUGCUUCCGGAUGGAAAAACGUGCCCUAGUGCUAUAACAACAACCUCAUCAAGUUCUUAAAUGACAACUUUCACGACUUCCAAUACGACAUCUCCUGGAAUCCAAUCAAAUAAAAGCAACGACGAUAAAGCUUCUUCCUCCAAAAUCAUGUACAUUGGAGCAGGAGCUGGUGGAACGUUAGCUAUGGUCAUUAUUGUCGUCGUAUUAAUAAAGUAUGUUUACCGUAUAUUGAAAUGGUAUCGUAAACCAGUUCAUAGUAUGUGUUUGUCUUGUUAGCCAGAAAAACGCAAUUGCGAUUUCAAUGGUUGAAAACGAACAUAUCAACGAAACG